rnacentral:lncRNA from 1 species
GUUUUGGCAGCGUAACAUAUGGGACAAGAGCUCAUAUCAAAUGGAUUUAACUCACUUUGUCAUCACUAACCCUGGGGUGUCUCAGGAGAUCGAGCCUGUUGCCCUUCUCUACUCUGGUCGCUGUCCUGAGAUGCUGGAGGAGUGAUAUGCACAGAUUGGGAGUGUGGUGUGCUAGGUGGAGGAGGUCAUGCACACCAUCACAGUCAGCAGUGGACUUCCCAGCAGCACCAACAGAGGCACAUGGUGUAUGUUUUGACUUUUCAACAUCAACCAUUCUGGGAUUCUGUGAUCUUUCCAUAAGCCCUGCCUGCGAGAGAAGAGAUGCUACCAAAGCAACAGGAACAUGCUCUUGUUGUGAUUCAUCCCAAAUAGCUUUCAACAUUACAUUUCACUGCGUCACUCGAGGCUUCCUUUCAGCAAGUAUUUGUACUGAGCAUUAGGCUUCAAUUCACCUGAUCUGGCUCUAGCAACAAACGUCAGCAUCCGGGCAGGAUGACAGCAUCUCCUGGCAGGCAGGAUGCAGUGCGGUGCCCAGAGGCUUCCGUUGCCUUGGGCUUCAUUGACAUUUUUAGACUUCAUCUUCUGUGGAGCAUCUGGGCCGAUAUCAAGUGGCAAUUUGAUUAAGAAGCAAGAACAACAAAAAAUCAGUGCUUUGCACAUUAGGUGAAUUAACUGAUUAACUGAGAGGUCUUGGAAUGUAAUUACAAGCACAAAAUCAUCAUCCAGUCUGUGAAUCUCUAGUGAGGUUGAUUCUCAGCACUAUAGUAUUGAACUGCAUUUAUCAAUGACUGAGCAGGCAAUGAAGUGCAGUCCUCAUCCUGUCCUCAGCUGGGCAAACAAAUGUGAUGCACUUCAGUAUGGGCUAAUGGACAAAAAGAAAAGCAAAG